GAAAAGACUUUCUUCCUUCUCUCAGUUCUCUGUGCCGACUGUGCGACUUUCUUCUCUGUUCGAAGCCUAGCAAAAAAAUUCACUUUACCAAUCUACACCCUCACUCCGUUCGUCGCCGACGCCGUUGCUCGCCGCAUCUGUGAGACUCCAUCGCCAUCGCCAUCGCCUUAACAAGUCCCAAGUCCCAAGUCCCAAAUCGAAGCUGCUCUCUGCCUCUCCGGCCUCCGCCAGUCCGCCGCGCUGUACGUCUCCUGUCGGCUGUGUCCUGCCGUGCUGGUUCAUCGCUGCCGAGUGUCGAAGACGAAGCACCAAGAUCUCACUAGUUCAUCGCUGGUUCAUCACUGCUCAUCUCUGGCUCACUUAGGUAAGUGCUCCUCUGUUUUUGGCUCUGUGUCUCUGGCAUUAAAAUGGGCCAAGAUCGACUAGGAAACUUGUUAUCCUGAAUUGAUAAGGGGACGAAAUCUGAGCUUCCAAUUGCAAACUCUAACUGUUGUAGUAGUUUAGAUUAGGUGUGAUAUAACAUAAGCUUUGUAUUUUAUACACAAGAAGCUCUCUCCAGUUGUGCAGCCUUUAAAAGUUAAGGCCUUGGGGAAAAAUUCCACCUUUUACCCGUUAGAAAGAUUGGCCUCAUGCUUUUGAAUAUACAUGCCGCAUACGUUGAUUGAGCUGAAUGUCUUGGUUUCUGAUCAUUUUUGGGCUAGUUAUUGCUUUAAUUUGAGUGAGAAUCCGGCAAAAUUUUAAUGCCCAUUUACUGUUCGACAAAAUGCUUGAUUGAAAGUUUUAGUUGAAGGGUGAUUGGUCUGCAUUUUUGCACAUGAAAAAUACUGGCCAAGUCGGCCAGUUCACUUCCUCGCAUCUAAGAAUUUUUGGUGUGUUGAUGUCUUACAUUUUUCUGCUCCUUAUGCUUCCGGUCGAGUGAAUUCGAAUUGAUGUUAUGAGAGGGAGUGUUGUGAGUCUCAUUGUUUGUUGGAAUGGUUAGAAAUUGAAGCCAGAUUUCUGGUUGCUGUCUUGCUGAAUGGUAAUUGAUAUUUGCUCGUUGGAGAAGAUGAUCACUUGUCCAAAAUUGCAAUUUCAGUCCCUCCGUUUUCUUUUUGUUUAGUGAUUUGGUCCUGUCUUUUCCUGAGCUUCAUAUUUGCCUCCAACACCAUCAUAAGUCCCUUAAUUAGGUCCCUGCUUUGUUGCAUUUUAAUCCCUCAAGUCCCCCUUGUUCACCGUAGCCUCAAAAUUUGGAAAAAUCAAAUCCAUUUUGCCUUUCUUGAGCUUAAUCCUAUGUUUGCCUAUUUUAUAUGACUUUUUGGGAUAAAUUAAUUCUUGACUUUAGAUCAUAAUUGUGGCUUAAUAUUUUUUGUUAAUUUGUUUAUGUUAUUGGGUUUAGUAUUAUGGUUUAAGUUUUUUGGGUAAUUAUAUUUGAUUAGGCUUGUAAAAAUUCUUUUUCUUUUUCUGCUCCUUCUUAGACCACACUUUGCUGUUUUAAGUUAAUUUAUUCUUUUGGGAAGUUAUGUAACUUUUUUUGUGUUUUUACCUCUAUGCUUUUUGUAGGAAGCCAAGACAAUCAAACAAUUCGACUUGCCAAAGCUUUGAAGAUUUAUGUUUCUAAAUCUAGAUUAGCUCAUUAUUUGGACCUUGUUAAUUUAUGAGACGUAACUUAUUAUGUAUUGUGGAGUAUGUUUAUAUUUUAAAGCCUUUUUCUUUCAUUUGCCGAAUGUAUGACUAUUGUGUGAGCAGGCUGGCCGCUGGUUAAUGACAUGUUAAUGUGUAGGAUAAAUGUCUAGAAAACUUGUUUUUUGAGUGUGUCGUGUGUGGUAUAAGGUUCAGAGGUUUUGCUUGUGGGUUCAAUUCUUUUGCUCUUUCCUCUGUUUAAAAUGACAGCCUGGAAAGAGCCGUUGCAAUUUGCUGUAAAAGGCUCCAGCCUCUGGGAUUGCAUUUUAAUGGUGGUAUUGAGGUCAUCUUUGCUGGGUCAGUUCAAAUCUGGUCAGAGAUUAGACCUUCUAUUGCACAGUGCAAUUGCAGCCCUUCUCAGGAAUCAAUCCAACAUUUGUAUCAAGACAAGAAUACAGAAUCUGCAGCAUUCGGCCAUGUGAAGAAUUCAAGAAAGUGGAGAUGGAAUAACAAGAAGAGGAAUUUUGCGACGAACUGCAACGCCAGGGCAUUCUGUCAUAUCCAACUCUUUUCCCUGUGCACCAUCAGGAAAUUGCCAAUCAAACUUGCUUACCAAAUUUGCCAACACAAGUUCAUUGCUGGCAACAGCAAAAGCGAUUCCAGGACAACCCCUCCUACCAGCACCAAAUGGGAUUAACUGGAAAUCAUGCCCUUUGAAAUCUAUAGACGAAUCCAUAAAUCUCUCUGGCAUAAAGUUCACAGGAACCAGCAACGGAAUUGGAGGAUGUAAGCGAAGAGUUUCCUUGAUCACUGCUUUCAAAUAAUGCAUCUCGGCCAAGUCAUCCUCGGAUAUCUGUUCUUUGCCACCAACAACCGCUCUUAUUUCAGUUUGCAAUUUCUUUAGGAUAAUGGGGUGUCUUAAGAUCUCUGCCAUUGCCCAUUCUGCAACUGUAGCCGUGGUAUCAGUUCCAGCAGAGAAUACAUCCUACAGUCAAAAAGAUAUACACUUAAAAUCAAUGAUUUGUUGAUUGUCCGUGAGAAUGAUCAGAGAUGACGCUUAAUGAAGCUUAAUGAUUUUAUAUUCAGAAAAAAUGAUUUUAUAGAAGCUUAAUGAUUUUAUACUCAGAAAA